GCUGGCGGCACGCUUAACACAUGCAAGUCGAACGAGAUCUUCGGAUCUAGUGGCAGACGGGUGAGUAACGCGUGGGAACCUGCCCAGUAGUAGAGAAUAACUUGGGGAAACUUAAGCUAAUACUUUAUACGUCCUUCGGGAGAAAGCUUUAUGCGCUAUUGGAUGGGCCCGCGUUAGAUUAGUUUGUUGGUGAGGUAAUGGCUCACCAAGGCGACGAUCUAUAGCUGGUCUGAGAGGAUGAUCAGCCACACUGGGACUGAGACACGGCCCAGACUCCUACGGGAGGCAGCAGUGGGGAAUAUUGGACAAUGGGGGCAACCCUGAUCCAGCGAUGCCGCGUGAGUGAUGAAGGCCCUAGGGUUGUAAAACUCUUUCGUCAGGGAAGAUAAUGACGGUACCUGAAGAAGAAGAUCCGGCUAACUCCGUGCCAGCAGCCGCGGUAAUACGGAGGGGUCUAGCGUUAUUCGGAAUUACUGGGCGUAAAGCGAGCGUAGGCGGAUUUGUAAGUUGGAGGUGAAAUCCCAGAGCUUAACUCUGGAACUGCCUUCAAAACUACAUUUCUUGAGUUUGGUAGAGGAGAGUGGAAUUCCUAGUGUAGAGGUGAAAUUCGUAGAUAUUAGGAGGAACACCAGUGGCGAAGGCGACUCUCUGGGCCAAUACUGACGCUGAGGUUCGAAAGCAUGGGUAGCGAACAGGAUUAGAUACCCUGGUAGUCCAUGCAGUAAACGAUGAGUGCUAGAUGUUGGGAAUUUAAAUUUCCAGUAUCGCAGUUAACGCGUUAAGCACUCCGCCU
rnacentral:rRNA from 1 species